rnacentral:rRNA from 1 species
UACGUAGGGAGCAAGCGUUGUCCGGAUUUACCGGGUGUAAAGGGUGCGUAGGCGGCUUUACAAGUCAGGCGUGAAAUAUAUGGGCUUAACCCAUAGACUGCGUUUGAAACUGUAGAGCUUGAGUGAAGUAGAGGUAGGCGGAAUUCCCGGUGUAGCGGUGAAAUGCGUAGAGAUCGGGAGGAACACCAGUGGCGAAGGCGGCCUACUGGGCUUUAACUGACGCUGAGGCACGAAAGCAUGGGUAGCAAACAGGAUUAGAUACCCUGGUAGUCCAUGCCGUAAACGAUGAUUACUAGGUGUGGGGGGUCUGACCCCUUCCGUGCCGGAGUUAACACAAUAAGUAAUCCACCUGGGGAGUACGGCCGCAAGGUUGAA